GCACCAUUAGCUCAGUUGGUAGAGCAACUGACUCUUAAUCAGUGGGUCCUGGGUUCGAGUCCCCGAUGGUGCA
rfam:Butyricicoccus pullicaecorum 1.2 genomic scaffold acBRa-supercont1.2, whole genome shotgun sequence.